AACUUUUAGCAAUGGAUCUCUUGGCUCUCGCAUCGAUGAAGAACGCAGCGAAAUGCGAUACGUAAUGAGAAUUGCAGAAUUCAGUGAAUCAUCGAAUCUUUGAACGCACCUUGCGCCCCUUGGCAUUCCGAGGGGCACACCCGUUUGCGUGUCGUGAAAUUCUCAAAAACCCUUUCUUUUGAUCGGAUUUUUGGACUUUGAGGUUCAAUGCUCGCCUUCAGCUGUUGAAAGCGAGCUCCUCUCAAAUUAACCAGUGCGGUCCGCUUUGCCGACCCUUGACGUGAUAAGAUGCUUCUACGUUUUGGAUUUGGCACUGUCCCUUGGACGCCUGCUCCUAACCGUCGCCAUGGACAAUGAUGGUGCUCCGGUCGACCGCGGCUGGACCCACGAAAAGAAAACCUUGAGCUCAAAUCGGGUGAGACUACCCGCUGAACUUAAGCAUAUCAAUAAGCGGAGGCU
rnacentral:misc_RNA from 1 species